GGUAAUGACGACGUCAGGACAGGUUCAAAGGAAGCCCAUCACUUGAGUAAAAAUUUAUAGCCCUGCUUGUGCUGUGCUGUGCUGUGCUGUGAGUUUCAGUUCCGGGCCAGCAAAAGAUUUAUCAAAGGAAAGCAACAAGGUGUAAGAAAAAUUAAUUUCAGAGAGGAAAAUAAAGUUGCUUGAGAGGGGCUCUUCAAUGACCAAAGGCCAUAAGAGACUGGAAGGCAAAAGGACCCAUUAAUGUAAUCCAAACAUCAGUCUCCUGCAGCAAAGAGGUGAAUGGAGAAGGGUGGAGAGUAGCUGUGGACGAGUGAAAAAGACAUCGCACCAUGUCUUCAAAUUACAUCCAGCAACUUCAUAUGAACUAUGAAACCCUUGUUGCCACAAUAGUCCCUCUUUGUUUGAACUACUACAAGAAUAAAGAAAUUUCUUUCUAAUCUUUUGCAGAAGAA
rnacentral:lncRNA from 10 species